rnacentral:rRNA from 1 species
UACGUAGGGCGCAAGCGUUAUCCGGAAUUAUUGGGCGUAAAGAGCUCGUAGGCGGUUUGUCGCGUCUGCUGUGAAAGACCGGGGCUCAACUCCGGUUCUGCAGUGGGUACGGGCAGACUAGAGUGCAGUAGGGGAGACUGGAAUUCCUGGUGUAGCGGUGAAAUGCGCAGAUAUCAGGAGGAACACCGAUGGCGAAGGCAGCUCACUAAACUGUAACUGACGCUGAGGCACGAAAGCUAGGGGAGCAAACGGG